UACGUAGGGUGCGAGCGUUGCCCGGAUUUAUUGGGCGUAAAGGGCGCGUAGGCGGCUCUGCACGUCCGUUGUGAAAUCGCCCGGCUCAACUGGGCGGGGUCAGCGGAUACGGCAGAGCUUGAGCAAGCUAGGGGGCAAUGGAAUUCCCGGUGUAGUGGUGGAAUGCGUAGAGAUCCGGAAGAACACCGGUGGCGAAGGCGGCCUGCUGGGCAGUUGCUGACACUGAGGCGCGACAGCGUGGGGAGCAAACAGG
rnacentral:rRNA from 1 species